UACGUAGGGGGCAAGCGUUAUCCGGAUUUACUGGGUGUAAAGGGGGCGCAGACGGCGAUGCAAGCCAGGAGUGAAAGCCUGGGGCCCAACCCCGGGACUGCUCUUGGAACUGCGUGGCUGGAGUGCAGGAGGGGCAGGCGGAAUUCCUGGUGUAGCGGUGAAAUGCGUAGAUAUCAGGAGGAACACCGGUGGCGAAGGCGGCCUGCUGGACUGCAACUGACGUUGAGGCCCGAAAGCGUGGGGAGCAAACAGG
rnacentral:rRNA from 1 species